rnacentral:siRNA from 1 species
CCACUACCGCUGUUGCCGCUCCU